rnacentral:tRNA from 1 species
GCUAAAAUAAUUUAAUAAAAAUAUUGGUCUUGUAAACCAAAAAUAAAAUAAACCU